AAACUGGGAUUAGAUACCCCACUAUGCUUAGCCCUAAACUCAGAUAGUUCCUCGAACAAAUCUAUCCGCCAGAGAACUACUAGCAACAGCUUAAAACUCAAAGGACUUGGCGGUGCUUUACAUCCCUCUAGAGGAGCCUGUUCUAUAAUCGAUAAACCCCGAUACACCUCACCACCUCUCGCUAAAUCAGUCUAUAUACCGCCAUCUUCAGCAAACCCUAAAAAGGAAGAAUAGUAAGCACAAACAUCUUAACAUAAAAAAGUUAGGUCAAGGUGUAACCCAUGAGGUGGGAAGCAAUGGGCUACAUUUUCUAUAUCUAGAACAACCCUUUACGAAAGUCCUUAUGAAAUUAAGAACCAAAGGAGGAUUUAGUAGUAAUUUGAGAAUAGAGUGCUCAAUUGAAUAGGGCCAUGAAGCACGCACACACCGCCCGUCACCCU
rnacentral:rRNA from 1 species